AGUGAACGCUGGCGGUAGGCCUAACACAUGCAAGUCGAACGGCAGCACAGUAAGAGCUUGCUCUUACGGGUGGCGAGUGGCGGACGGGUGAGGAAUACAUCGGAAUCUACUUUUUCGUGGGGGAUAACGUAGGGAAACUUACGCUAAUACCGCAUACGACCUACGGGUGAAAGCAGGGGAUCUUCGGACCUUGCGCGAUUGAAUGAGCCGAUGUCGGAUUAGCUAGUUGGCGGGGUAAAGGCCCACCAAGGCGACGAUCCGUAGCUGGUCUGAGAGGAUGAUCAGCCGCACUGGAACUGAGACACGGUCCAGACUCCUGCGGGAGGCAGCAGUGGGGAAUAUUGGACAAUGGGCGCAAGCCUGAUCCAGCCAUACCGCGUGGGUGAAGAAGGCCUUCGGGUUGUAAAGCCCUUUUGUUGGGAAAGAAAAGCAGCAGGUUAAUACCCCGCUGUUCUGACGGUACCCAAAGAAUAAGCACCGGCUAACUUCGUG
rnacentral:rRNA from 1 species